rnacentral:misc_RNA from 1 species
GCGCAAGUUCCAUUUGCAGAGCUGAACGAAGAGCGGCUGACAGCGCUGGCUUCGAUCGACUUGCUGAAACAGCAAUUGCCGGAGGUUGAAUCGGUGGC